CUGAGGGCAUGGCAUAGGAAGGGUCAUCGCAAGCAAGGGGUGGAGGCCAGGGCCUGUUUGCUCAUUUUUGGAUGAGAAGAGGCCACUCUGCAGCACAAGGAAAGACGUGACAAUAUAUGGAAAGGCACAGGAAGAAGAUAACUUGGCAGAGCCUUCUCCGUUUCCACUGAGGAAAACUGGCUAUGCUGGAGCCUGCAUAGUAGCAUGGAACCCCAUGAGGCAAGUGUGUGCCUGCUCUUCACCUUUGGAAGUCUCUCAAAGGCAGAUCUCACACAUGCUGUUUCCAUGGAAACGGGUCAAAGAAGCGAAG